AAAGAGCAGCAAGCUUGUAAAAGUAUCUGCUGAGCUGUGAAGAAAUAAAGGUUUGACCCCCGCCCCCACCACAAUCUCCUUGCAUUGUGGUAUAACAUUUUGGCGAGCUAGGCAGGAGGGUGAAUUUAACAGACUUCACCCCCAACAGAUGCACUUAUCCAGUUCGGGAGGAACAAGUACAAGAGGGAAUUUCUGAAGACCAUAAUGCAGUAAAUGGGGCCUUGUUAAGAACGGCACUGGCAAGAGGCAUUAUGGCUAGUAAUGAUUUAGAAAGCCUGCUUAUGGAGGUGGAAGGACUUUUGUAAACUGCAGGAGGAGCAGUUAAAAGAAGUGUAUGACUCCUUGAACAUUUCUGGGCCAAACAGUUCUAAGAUUGCAAGCAAGAGCCAUUUUGCUUUACUCAGAUAUGUAGUGCAGCAUUUGAAUAGUGCUGAAAAAAGAGAAUUGGAAGAUGAGGGCCUAUCCACAUUGAAGGUGAAGAAUCAGAUUGAGGAGUUCAACUAAAGUCUGAACUUUAGUCUGCAACUAAAGAGAAGGAACUACAGAAACAAUAUCGAGAAAGCAAAACUAUUAGAAUAUAUCAGCUCCAGGGGGGGAAAUGAAGGAGAUAGACAUGAAACUCUUAGAGGAGAGAAAAUCACUUGUGGGAGUGGAACCAAAACAGAGGAAAGAUGUUAAGAUAACGACAGAUAGGUAACCCUCUGCAAAAGGACAGACUGGAUUUUACCAGCUUGGCCUAUCAGAUUGAAGCUAGAAUCCAAAAGGAUUACAGUGAGAAAGGGGGGAAAAAGAAGCCGUCAUUAAGGCUAUUUCCCUGCAAACAACCUCAGAAGCUAUCUGGAAGGAGAUCUCGGCCUAGCAAAACUGAGACACAUUAUGAGAUCCUACCACAAGGAAAAAGAUACAACAGAGUUGUAUUUUUCCUUGUCAAAAGCAGUGUAAUAGCCCCAAGAGACACCCCAGGAUUUCCUAGUCAGACUAAUGGUUUUGAGACCAAAAAAAUUCUGUUUGCCUCACAGGAAGCAGACUCUGGCUUAAAGUAUGACCCUGCCCUUGUACAAAAUAUGUUACUCCACUCCUUCCUGACAGAACUUAAGAGUAUUAAUGUCUGGAUCUUGAUGCAACCUCAUUUAAAGGAUAGCCAGAUCACUGAUGAACUUUUAUUUGAAAACCUGAACAUGGUUGUCAGUAAGGAAUGAGAAAAUAACCAGAAAUGGGGAACCAGGACCCCGGCUAAGACUAGGAAAACUCUAACUGUACCACACCUGCUUCUAGAACCUGAGCCUGAGGGGAGUGCAGUAUUAAUACUACCCAAGCGAAAGAGCAAUUCCUUGCUGAAUGAGAUGAAGGAACUGAAAGCCAGCCUUGAAGAAAUUAAAGAGAUUAAAACUGAAGUCAACCUUUUAAAGCAAGCUGUUCAGAGUGCCAACCAACAUGCAAACUAUAGGAAUAUAAGAGACACUGAUAGCCAGUAUCAAAGGAGAGGUUGCAGAACCUGCCAACAGACUGGACAACGGAACACAUGCAAUCAUUUUUUUCCAUGUGGAAAUGAGGAUCACUACUAGUCAGGAUAUCAUGCCAAGAGGUUACCUCAGAAAAAAAAUACUCAGGCAGAAAAUGGCAGAAGAUUAUUCCAAAGGGACCGGAAGUGAGCACUCAGACAGGACAGUCCCAGAGUCAAAACAAGCACAUGGCCAGGAUCCUGCCUGUACAACUGGAUGUGACAGGAGCUACUUAUGCCUGCCAUCUCACCCCUAAGCAGAAAGCCAGAAUGGUCCACUUGAUGGGAAAGAAAUGUAUUAUUUGGUGCUUCCUCAAGCAAGUCAAAACCCCAGAUUUAUGGUGUACAGGGGCACGUGUCCAUGUUGUCUAGCCAGUAGGGGUGUACAUGGAACUGGCUGGUUUGAGUUUGAGUUUGACCAGCCAUGCAGAGGCCCAUUACACAGGUGUGGCAUUCUCCAAAAUGGCCACCACACCAGGGGAAGGGCCCAAAAAUGGGCUGAAGGAUGGCUGAUUUUGCAACUAAGGGAGGCGUGGGGGUGGGGGAACCUCCAUGCGGAACCCCCCCACCUCGGAUAACUCCCUCAGAGGGGGUAAGUUUGGAAAAGAAGUUAAAAUUAUUUUUUAAAACCGCAAACCCCCUGAACUGGCCAGGGGGGUUCAGUCUGUUUUGACCCUAAACAGUCGAUCCGAACCAGUUCAACGUCAAACCUGUUUACACAUUGAGCAAAGGAUAAUCUUCCAGGAAUUCCCCUGAGGAAGCUUAGAGAACUACUAGAAACCUCAUUAGAGGCAACAAUUCUAAUCAAUUAUUUGGCCUUAAGGUAGGGGAAAGGGAUGUAUGGAUUCCUAAAGAAAAGAUAAUAUAUGUGAAGUGUUGGGCCCAUGUACAGCCUCACCAGGAAAGCCUGACUACUAUAUUUGAACCAGACCCAACUGCAUUGUGGCCUGAGGACCUGUACCUUGAAGAAACAGUGGUCUGGAUACCAAGAAGAGCACCCUGCCAAGUAAAUAUCCCAAUUAGUAAUACCACAAAACAUGAUAUUAAGAGGAAAAACCCUACUGGGAAGUCUCCACCAAAUCAAGUCUGAAACUCCAGUGGAUAUUCAGGGACUGAAAAUAUUUCAAGUAAUGAAAGUCAAUAACAACAGGCCUACACAUUCUGAAUCCCAUCAGAUGAAGGGAGAAGAGGAACCAGUUGUUUGAACAAGCUGUGGAUCUAAGUCACCUCUCAAACCUACAGAGGGAAGUCACUCAAAAGAUGCUGAAAGAAGAAUCAGGAACAUUUUCCAGCGAUGAGGGAGACCUGGGACAGAUUCCCACACUGCCAAUACAUAUCAACCUGCAUGACCAACAACCGGUUCAGAAAACAUACUUCUCAAUCCUGCACCCAUUAUAUAAAGAAGUAAAGGAAUAUCUGCAAGACUUCCUUGGCAAAGAAUACAAUACAAAGUCAAACUCAUCUCCAGUGCUCUGUGUUUGGAAGAAAGAUGGGAGCCUCCAUCUCUGCAUGGACUAUUUGGAACUGAACAGGAAGACAAUAUCAGAUAGGCAGCACAUUCCCCGAAUUCAGGAUGUGCUUAAUGGAUUAGGGGGCAAAACCUGGUUCUCUGUUUUGGACCAAGGAAACAAGCCACAGAUAGCCAUGGAGAGGGCACUAUAUCUUGGGUGAUGGCUGUGACCUGCAGUCCUGUGGUUGUGAACAGGUUUGAGGAAGACGUGGACUGUACGCUGCAUCCCAUCUAGCUGGAAGAACCCUGAGCAGUCCAAAAAAUAGAUUCCUGACAUUUCUUACAUCCUACUGCAGGAGGCUUUGGGGCACAAGCUCACCAACUCUGCCCAGACUAAGGGAAGUCUUGUUUUAUUGUAGGAAUGGCACUGAUUGUAAGUGAAUGCUGAGGGCUUAUUAUAUCCCUCAAGUCAAAGUCAAGGAAUCAACUUGUGUUACCACAAAAAAUAUGAGACCCAAGUAUAUUAUGAACUUCAUGAGGAAAUGGGACAUCUUGGUUGUAAACUGGUCUUUGCCUUGGUUAGGGAACAGUUCUAUUGGCCACAAAUGAGGAAAGCAAUUGAACACUAUAUUAUUAAUAUUAGCAGUUGUGUCAAACAAAAGAAAUCUCAUUACUCUGAUAAAGCCCCCGUAAUGAAUAUUGUUACUUCAGAGCCUUUUGACUUAGUAUCUAUUGAUUUCUUGCAUUUAGAGAAUAUGAAUAUAUCUUAGUUCUGAUGUAUCAUUUACAAGAUUUGUGCAGGCAUAUCCUACUAUCAAUUAGUCUGGGAGGACAUUAGCGGACAAAAUCUUCCAUGAUUUUAUUCCGAGAUUUGGUUUUUCCCAAAUGAUUACAUCAUGAUCAAGGUACAGAAUGUGAAAACCAUCUUUUCAAAAGACAUCACAUUAUUGCAACAUCAGCUCCUCCCACACUACACCGUAUCAUCCUGAAGUUCACUCAACCUAAGUUGCCUUGCAGCAAUAUUUUUUAAAAGAAUGGAAAGAAGAAAAACAAUACAAAGGAAGCAACCACUAUGGUGUUUACAUAGCACAGGAUUUUUGAUCUGGACAGGACGCUGGACAAGGUCUUUCCUAGCCCCAUUAUCAUGAUGAAGAGAGUCCUUUCAUCAGAGUUGCUGAAGACUGAACCUGAAAUCUUUCUAGGCAAAUACUACUUCACAGUUUCUCACAUGUGGCCAAUAAUUUGUACAUAAGAUACGAAGGAGUCCAGAACCAGAGCAAGACAGGCAAAGACCCCUCACAGAAGCAGGUGGCUCUUCAAGGAAAGGCAUGCAUAUGGUGAGGAAAAUAAACUUUCAGUGGUACAUCUGGGAAUUACAAAAGAAUCUCCACUUCUAAUGUAUUCGUGUCUACUGUUUUAUUGGAUGUACUACUAUGUACUAGAAGAACCACUCUUUCUAAACUUCCCUGGAAACACACCUGAAGGUGAGGCAUAUAAAUGUAUUAAAUAAAUUUAUACAUGUACUCUGCCUAUUUUGAAGAACAGCAUUUAGUCCAAGUAUAAUAAUAUUUGAAAGAGCUAGUUGGAUAAGAUUUAGAUAUGUUUGAAAAAAGCCCAUGUUUAAGAUGGAUUAUGCAUUCUCAGUACCAAAGACAAAAUGAUACUCUUUGCAGUUUAUGCAUUUCAGUAGAGUUAUACAAUAACAAUUCAGGGGUUACAAUACUGUGCACACUUAGUACCAAAGGGAGCUUCCCUCUGGGGACAAAUAGCAGCUGUGGGGACCAAUCUGAAAUGAAACCAUAACUGAGGCAAAGAUUUAAGGACCUCCUUCCCACAAUGUAGUCCUGUUCGGGUCUGCCAGGGCUACUAUUUCAUAGGGAUGUGCAAACUUGUUCAAUAUCGAACCGGUUUGCACUCGAAUGGGGCUGGUUCAGAUGCUUGACCUCAAACUUAACUGGACCUGGUUCGGUCCGAGGUUGAACUGAACCUCUCAGGCCGGUUUUGGCCCAGUUCAAGGGUGGCAGUGGUGGCAUGUUAAAAUACUGUAAAAUAAUGAAUUGAUUACUACUGGCUACAGUGGCCUCAUUAUGUGCUGC